rnacentral:tRNA from 1 species
GGGAGUGUAGCUCAAUGAUAGAGCGCUUGCCUAGCAUACAAGAGGCUCUAGAUUUCAUCUCUAGCACCA